CCUACGGGAGGCAGCAGUGGGGAAUAUUGGGCAAUGGGCGCAAGCCUGACCCAGCAACGCCGCGUGAAGGAAGAAGGCUUUCGGGUUGUAAACUUCUUUUAAGAGGGAAGAGCAGAAGACGGUACCUCUUAAAUAAGCCACGGCGAACUACGUGCCAGCAGCCGCGGUGAUACGUAGGUGGCAAGCGUUGUCCGGAUUGACUGGGUGGACAGGGCGUGAAGCCGGGAAGACAAGUCAGAUGGGAAAUCCCGCGGCUCAACCGCGGAACUGCAUUUGAAACUGUUUUUCUUGGGUACCGGAGAGGUCAUCGGAAUUCCUUGUGUAGCGGUUAAAUGCGGAGAUAUAAGGAAGAACACCAGUGGCGAAGGCGGAUGACUGGACGGCAACUGACGGUGAGGCGCGAAAGCGUGGGGAGCAAACAGGAUUAGAUACCCGAGUAGUC
rnacentral:rRNA from 1 species